UACGGGGGGUGCGAGCGUUGUCCGGAAUCACUGGGCGUAAAGGGCGCGUAGGUGGUUUGAUAAGGGUGUGGUGAAAGUCCGGGGCUCAACCCCGGAUCUGCCGUGCCGACUGUCAAACUCGAGGGCUGUAGAGGCAGACGGAAUUCCGGGUGUAGCGGUGGAAUGCGUAGAGAUCCGGAGGAAGACCGGUGGCGAAGGCGGGUCUCUGGACAGUUCCUGACACUGAGACACGAAGGCCAGGGGAGCAAACGGG
rnacentral:rRNA from 1 species